UACGGAGGGUGCAAGCGUUGUCCGGAUUCAUUGGGUUUAAAGGGUGCGCAGGCGGGCCAUUAAGUCAGGGGUGAAAGACGGUUGCUCAACAAUCGCAGUGCCUUUGAUACUGGUGGUCUUGGGUGACCUUGAGGUAGGCGGAAUGGGUGGUGUAGCGGUGAAAUGCAUAGAUACCACCCAGAACUCCGAUUGCGAAGGCAGCCUACUGGAGGUUUACCGACGCUCAGGCACGAAAGCGUGGGGAUCAAACAGG
rnacentral:rRNA from 1 species